rnacentral:rRNA from 1 species
UACGUAGGGACCAAGCGUUGUUCGGAUUUACUGGGCGUAAAGGGUGCGUAGGUGGGCUAGUAAGUCCGUGGUGAAAUCCCCGAGCUUAACUCGGGAACUGCCGUGGAUACUAUUAGUCUUGAAUAUCGUGGAGGUAAGCGGAAUAUGUCAUGUAGCGGUGAAAUGCUUAGAUAUGACAUAGAACACCGAUAGCAGGAGGCAG